rnacentral:lncRNA from 1 species
GCAGAUCACACUUCCUCCAACUGGAGUAAAAUCACACAAAAGUAACUUCAAAGCGCUCUGAGAAUUCAAAUUAUUUUUCAAAUUCGAUUGAUAUUUUCAUCAGUUAGGGUUCCAUAAAUUUCCAAAUUGAUACAAACUCUCGAAGAUUUCAAAACUUUUCCGGUGAAUUUUGGCAAAAUGAAGUUGAAGAUUAACAAAGCCUCCGAUCUCAGCUCCAUCUCUGUUCUUC